GAAAAAGAAGAAAGAAAAGAAAAAGAAAGAAAAAGAAAGAAAAAGAAAAGAAAGAAAAGAAAAGAAAGAAAAGGAAGAAAAAAAGAAAAGGAAAUUGGGAAAAAUGUUGAAAAGUCCUAGAAAAAUCCUGAAAAUUAGGAAAUGAAGAUGUAAUGAUAUCCCGAAGAUUUUAGUGAGAAAAACAGCCCGGGCACGCGUUUCAAGGAUUAGAGCACGCAUACCGAAGAAACCGGAGAUGCUAAGUUAAGGAUACGUUGAGGCUGAAUUGAAGAGACUCGCGCAAAUUUUGAGGUUGGCACGCAAAUCGAGACAAGAAUUUCGAGGUAGCCCGAUAAACUCUAAAAGUCGGGACUUGCAGAGAUGAUUCCGAGAACGGUGAUAUGUAGUAACGUGAGACGUCAAGAAGCGAGUAAAUGUAUCAUGUUAUGUUGUAAUAUGAGUGGUUUAAGAAUUAUGUACAUUGUAUUGUCAGACGCUUAUGAAUUAACUUUGUAAUGAAUAUCAUGACUAGUUAUUAUUAUAUGAGCAGGUUCGAUUCAGCUUCCGCUUUGUAUUUAUUUUCUAGUGUAGAUAUCUCGCACUAGAUAAGGUCUUGGGGAAUUUCGGGAUAAUGUAAAGAAAAAAAAAAAAAAGACCAAAUUUCCUAAGGCAUAACACGCCCUAAAGAAGUGGGCUGU